rnacentral:rRNA from 1 species
ACGCUCGACACCUAGGGAGCAGCAGUGGGGAAUAUUGCACAAUGGGGGAAACCCUGAUGCAGCGACGCCGCGUGAGCGAAGAAGUAUUUCGGUAUGUAAAGCUCUAUCAGCAGGGAAGAAACUGACGGUACCUGACUAAGAAGCACCGGCUAAAUACGUCNCGNNCGCGUAUNUGNGCGGCGNGCGAGNG